GACGUAGGGCGCGAGCGUUAUCCGGAAUUAUUGGGCGUAAAGAGCUCGUAGGCGGUUUGUCGCGUCUGCUGUGAAAACUGGGGGCUCAACCCCCAGCCUGCAGUGGGUACGGGCAGACUAGAGUGCGGUAGGGGAGAUUGGAAUUCCUGGUGUAGCGGUGGAAUGCGCAGAUAUCAGGAGGAACACCGAUGGCGAAGGCAGAUCUCUGGGCCGUAACUGACGCUGAGGAGCGAAAGCAUGGGGAGCGAACAGG
rnacentral:rRNA from 1 species